rnacentral:lncRNA from 1 species
UGUGCUGCAUCUGUGACCUCAAGUCUCUACUGGAAUUGGAUAGAGAUAGUGAAUUUCAGCCAGAGGGCCCAAAGAACUCAUGUCCCACGCUCCUGAACGCCAUCAGCCCCCGCACCUCCAUCUUCCCUCCUCCCACGAGUCGCCUGCUCCCCGUGACUCUGGCCUCCUUGCAGUGUUGCUGGGCCACGUCAGGAAGUGCUGGAGGACAUGGCAUUGCACCAACACCAGGCAGCCGGCCGUGUGGCUCAUCCCGCAGAUCAGGCUCUUCCUGUGCAUGGAGAUGGAGACCCCCGGAGGCAGCCCGUGGCCCAGUUCUCGGGCAGGUGGAGCAUGGAGA